UACGAAGGGGGCUAGCGUCGUUCGGAAUUACUGGGCGUAAAGCGCGCGCAGGCGGUCUUCCAAGUCAGUGGUGAAAGCCCGGAGCUCAACUCCGGAACUGCCAUUGAAACUGUUAGACUUGAGGACGAGAGAGGUGAGUGGAAUUCCCAGUGUAGAGGUGAAAUUCGUAGAUAUUGGGAAGAACACCGGUGGCGAAGGCGGCUCACUGGCUCGUAUCUGACGCUCAGGCGCGACAGCGUGGGGAUCAAACAGG
rnacentral:rRNA from 1 species